UUGAUUUUGAUAUAAAUCAAACGGAAGAAUUUAUAGUUUAAUUAUAUGAUAGCCACUUUAAAUGUUAAAAAAAUUGUGUUUAUAUGUUUUGUGAUUGAAGUACUUAAAAGGAAAUAAAGAACCUAUGGAUUAUAUAUGGCUGAGAAAUGACACCUGGUACCUAUAUCAAGGAUCACCCUACGCUCCAUUACCAGAGGCCCCAAGGCCGGCGGUGCUAUAAAGCGGAAAAUUAUAAAAUAUAAUGGUUGUAUCAGGUAAAAUGUUCAUAUGAUUAUAUUAAUAAAAUAAAAGUAUGUGUGUAAAAUAAUAUUUAUUUUUGUGUGAAGAAAAAAAAAUACUAAAUCAGUCAAUGGUUGAUUGUGAAAGGAACCAAGCAGGAAUCUGGCAAAAUCCACAGAGCUUGUGAUUACGGAGCCUGAUACCCUUUAUUAACAUGGCAACAAUGCUUCUGUCGGAGACAAUUAAAGCUACAGAUUUUAUAGUAGUGGUUUUUUACAAUUGAGCCUCUCAUUUUGCUUCUGUAUUUUGAGUUUUGUGAUUAGUCAAUAUGACAUCUUUAGCAUGGAAUUGCCAAGGUAGUUGUUAUUCUUGGCAAUAAAAGCUUUGAAAGAGCUUAUUCAUAAAUAUAGAUACUGUAUUGUCUUUGUUAUGGAGAUUAAGAAUUAGUGUGCAUAUAUG
rnacentral:lncRNA from 1 species